GCCCGGCUAGCUCAAUCGGUAGAGCGUGAGACUCUUACAACUCCAUCAUGAUGCAUCAUCAUCUGGGGUUCGGGAUAAAUCUCAAGGCUGUGGGUUCGACCCCCACGUCGGGCU
rnacentral:tRNA from 1 species